rnacentral:rRNA from 1 species
UCGAUUAAGCCAUGCGAGUCGCGAGUCUUAGGGACUCGGCGUACCGCUCAGUAACACGUGGGUAACCUGCCCUAUGCUGGGGGAUAACCUCGGGAAACUGAGAAUAAUACCCCAUAGUUCACCACGCCUGGAACGGUGGGUGGACCAAAGCUCCGGCGGCAUAGGAUGGGCCUGCGGCGUAUCAGGUUGUAGGGGGUGUAAUGUACCCUCUAGCCCUCUACGCGUACGGGUGUUGAGAGACAUCGCCCGGAGAUGGAUUCUGAGACACGAAUCCAGACCCUACGGGGUGCAGCAGGCGCGAAAACUUGGCAAUGCGAGAAAUCGUGACCAGGGAACUCCAAGUGCAUCGGGUAAGACCGAUGCUUUUCUUGACUCUUCAAAGGUCUUGGAAUAAGGGGUGGGUAAGGACGGUGCCAGCCGCCGCGGUAAUACCGGCGCCCCAAGUGGUAGUCGCUUUUAUUGGGCCUAAAACGUCCGUAGCCGGUCUGGUACAUUCGUGGGUAAAUCAACCAGCUCAACUGGUUGAAUUCUGCGAGCACGGCCAGACUUGGGACCGGGAGAGGUGUGGGGUACUCUCAGGGUAGGGGUAAAAUCCUGUCAUCCUGAGAGGACCACCUGUUGCGAAGGCGCCACACUAGAACGGAUCCGACGGUCAGGGACGAAGCCUAGGGGCACGAACCGGAUUAGAUACCCGGGUAGUCCUAGGUGUAAACGCUGUGGACUUGAUGUUGGGGGCGCUCCGAGCGCACUCAGUGUCGAAGCGAAGGUGAUAAGUCCACUGCCUGGGGAGUACGGUCGCAAGGCUGAAACUUAAAGGAAUUGGCGGGGGAGCACCGCAACCUGAGGAUUGUGCGGUUUAAUUGGAUCAACGCCGGG